UAUUACAAUGAAGAGUUUGAUCCUGGCUCAGGAUGAACGCUAGCUACAGGCUUAACACAUGCAAGUCGAGGGGCAGCAUGGUCUUAGCUUGCUAAGGCCGAUGGCGACCGGCGCACGGGUGAGUAACACGUAUCCAACCUGCCGUCUACUCUUGGACAGCCUUCUGAAAGGAAGAUUAAUACAAGAUGGCAUCAUGAGUCCGCAUGUUCACAUGAUUAAAGGUAUUCCGGUAGACGAUGGGGAUGCGUUCCAUUAGAUAGUAGGCGGGGUAACGGCCCACCUAGUCUUCGAUGGAUAGGGGUUCUGAGAGGAAGGUCCCCCACAUUGGAACUGAGACACGGUCCAAACUCCUACGGGAGGCAGCAGUGAGGAAUAUUGGUCAAUGGGCGCAGGCCUGAACCAGCCAAGUAGCGUGAAGGAUGACUGCCCUAUGGG
rnacentral:rRNA from 1 species